CUGAUAAAAGCAUUAGACUGUAAAUCUAAAGAUAGGGGUUUAAGUCCUCUUUUUGCCA
rnacentral:tRNA from 1 species